rnacentral:rRNA from 1 species
UCGGGAAUUUUGGGCAAUGGGCGAAAGCCUGACCCAGCAACGCCGCGUGAAGGAUGAAAUCCUUCGGGAUGUAAACUUCGCAAGAAUGGGAAGAAUUAGCGAGCGCUAACACCGUUCGUGAUGACGGUACCAUUUGUAAGCUCCGGCUAACUCCGUGCCAGCAGCCGCGGUAAUACGGGGGGAGCAAGCGUUGUUCGGAUUUACUGGGCGUAAAGGGCGCGUAGGCGGCCAGCGCAAGUCAGUUGUGAAAUCUCCGGGCUUAACUCGGAAAGGUCAACUGAUACUGCGCGGCUAGAGUGCGGAAGGGGCAACUGGAAUUCUCGGUGUAGCGGUGAAAUGCGUAGAUAUCGAGAGGAACACCUGCGGCGAAGGCGGGUUGCUGGGCCACAACUGACGCUGAGGCGCGAAAGCUAGGGGAGCAAACAGGAUUAGAUACCCUGGUAGUCCUAGCCCUAAACGAUGAUUGCUUGGUGUAACAGGUACCCAAUCCUGUUGUGCCGAAGCUAACGCGAUAAGCAAUCCGCCUGGGGAGUACGGUCGCAAGGCUGC